rnacentral:rRNA from 1 species
UACGUAGGGGGCGAGCGUUGUCCGGAAUUACUGGGCGUAAAGAGCGCGUAGGCGGCGCCAUAAGUUCCGUGUGAAAGCCCCCGGCUCAACUGGGGAGGGUCGCGGAAGACUGUGGUGCUGGAGUGUCGGAGAGGGAAGUGGAAGUCCCGGAGUAGGGGUGAAAUGCGCAGAUAUCAGGAAGAACACCCGUGGCUAAGGCGGCUCUCUAGUACGGUACUGACGCUGAGACGCGAAAGCGUGGGGAGCGAACAGG